GACCUGUCGAGUGAAGACGGAUGGAUACAGGUGUGCUGGCCGACCAGGAAAGCACCUAAAAACAAGGUGGCCGCAAAACCGCUCCUACUCGGAGACAACUACAAGGAGUUGAUGGAAAGAAAAGAAGCCUUCCUCAAGGAUGAAGACAUCUGGCACAUGGCAGUUGCAAGGAGAAGGACCUCACCUUGUACCACAACAUAUGAUGGAAGCAAACCAAAGAAAAAAAGAAUUACUGCAACUUCCAGUCUCACUUCAGAUGAAGAUGAAACACAGAUUGACCAAUCACAAGUUCUUCAAACAAAUG